CUGGUAACCUAGUUCCUUCUUGCUUCCUUUUGACAAGAAAUUUCGCUCUUGUUGCCCAGGGCUGGAGUGCAAUGGUGCAAUCUCGGCUCACCACAACCACUGCCUCCUGGGUUCAAGCGAUUCUCCUGCCUCAGCCUCCUGAGUAGCUGGGAUUACAGGAAGUACAAAAACAUCCUUGCCGUUUGCUGGAAUGAUGUACUGCUGAAGGCAAUGGACACUGGGGUUGUUUGUCCCUAAUCACAAAAUAAUUUGGACCAGUAUUUUUGAAGGAAGACGGAGACACCAGGUUUCAUAUAUCAUGGGGAAUUAAAGGUUGAACUAGACUGAAGCAAAUGGAUGAAAAAAGUAGAAUAUGGUAAAUCCAGGUGAGUUUUGCAUUACUUUCUUACUUCCCACCCUGCUUUGUUGUUCCUCAUCCAUUUAUUUCUCUUAGUAUCCUUUUAUCCUGCAGCCUCUGGUUACUUUGUUCUAUCCCAUGAAUCCAAAGUCUUAGGUACAAUAUAUGAUUUAUACCUGUUACCCCCAAAAUGAUGAAUGGUCUAGGUUCCCUUUCUCAUCUUCAAAUUUCACGUGUUCUUUGAUUCUUCUACCAUAGGCCCCUUUGCUCAGCUUUCAAAAAUAGCAACUAGAUCAUAUGACAAAUAUAUUUAUGUUGUUGAUAUUUUAAUGAGAUGACUAAAUUUACUACUUUCUUAACAUUUACAUUUAAUAGUGG
rnacentral:lncRNA from 1 species